rnacentral:rRNA from 1 species
AGAACGAACGCUGGCGGCAUGCCUAACACAUGCAAGUCGAACGCUCUUGGGGCUUCGGUCUCAGGGGAGUGGCGCACGGGUGAGUAGCGCGUGGGAACCUGCCCUGUUGUGGGGGAUAACCGAGGGAAACUUCGGCUAAUACCGCAUAAGCCGGUUGUCUUGAAGGAGAUGGCCGGGAAAGAUUUAUCGCGACAGGAGGGGCCCGCGUCGGAUUAGCUAGUUGGUGGGGUAACGGCCCACCAAGGCGGUGAUCCGUAGCUGGUCUGAGAGGAUGAUCAGCCACACUGGGACUGAGACACGGCCCAGACUCCUACGGGAGGCAGCAGUGGGGAAUAUUGGACAAUGGGCGCAAGCCUGAUCCAGCAAUGCCGCGUGAGUGAUGAAGGCCUUAGGGUUGUAAAGCUCUUUCGCCCGCGACGAUGAUGACGGUAGCGGGAGAAGAACGCCCCGGCUAACUUCGUGCCAGCAGCCGCGGUAA